CGCUGGCGGCGUGCUUAACACAUGCAAGUCGAACGGUGACGGAGGAGCUUGCUCCUCCUGAUCAGUGGCGAACGGGUGAGUAACACGUGAGUAACCUGCCCCAGACUCUGGAAUAACAGUUGGAAACAGCUGCUAAUACCGGAUACGAGACGGAGAGGCAUCUCUACCGUCUGGAAAGUUUUUCGGUCUGGGAUGGACUCGCGGCCUAUCAGCUUGUUGGUGAGGUAAAUGGCUCACCAAGGCGACGACGGGUAGCCGGCCUGAGAGGGCGACCGGCCACACUGGGACUGAGACACGGCCCAGACUCCUACGGGAGGCAGCAGUGGGGAAUAUUGCACAAUGGGCGAAAGCCUGAUGCAGCAACGCCGCGUGAGGGAUGACGGCCUUCGGGUUGUAAACCUCUUUCAGUAGGGAAGAAGCGCAAGUGACGGUACCUACAGAAGAAGCACCGGCUAACUACGUG
rnacentral:rRNA from 1 species